UACAGGGGGGGGCAAGUGUUACUCAUCUUGAUUGGGCGUAAAGGGCGUGUAGGUGGCUAAUGGUGUUUAUUAUAAAGUUGUUUGAAUGGUUCAAAUAAGUAAUUCAUAACUCAUUAGCUAGAGUUUGUGGGGUGGUUGCGGUACUCUCAGUGUAAAGGUAACAUUUAACGAUAUUGACGGGGACUCUCAAAAGCGAAAGCAGCAUCCAAAAAACAUAACUGACACUGAAACGCGAAAGCAUGGGGAGCAAACCGG
rnacentral:rRNA from 1 species